ACUCCUACGGGAGGCAGCAGUGGGGAAUUUUGGACAAUGGGCGAAAGCCUGAUCCAGCAAUGCCGCGUGCAGGAUGAAGGCCUUCGGGUUGUAAACUGCUUUUGUACGGAACGAAAAAGCUCCUUCUAAUACAGGGGGCCCAUGACGGUACCGUAAGAAUAAGCACCGGCUAACUACGUGCCAGCAGCCGCGGUAAUACGUAGGGUGCGAGCGUUAAUCGGAAUUACUGGGCGUAAAGCGUGCGCAGGCGGUUAUGUAAGACAGAUGUGAAAUCCCCGGGCUCAACCUGGGAACUGCAUUUGUGACUGCAUGGCUAGAGUACGGUAGAGGGGGAUGGAAUUCCGCGUGUAGCAGUGAAAUGCGUAGAUAUGCGGAGGAACACCGAUGGCGAAGGCAAUCCCCUGGACCUGUACUGACGCUCAUGCACGAAAGCGUGGGGAGCAAACAGGAUUAGAUACCUCUGUAGUCCCA
rnacentral:rRNA from 1 species